AACGAACGCUGGCGGCGUGCCUAACACAUGCAAGUCGAACGUGAUUAGAGAGCUUGCUCUCUAUGAAAGUGGCGCACGGGUGAGUAACGCGUAGAUAAUCUACCUGAUGAUUCGGGAUAACACUUCGAAAGGGGUGCUAAUACCGGAUAAGCCCACGGAGUCCUUGGACUCUGCGGGAAAAGGGGGGGAUCGCAAGACCUUCCGUCAUCAGAUGAGUCUGCGUACCAUUAGCUAGUUGGUAGGGUAAAGGCCUAACAAGGAGACGAUGGUUAGCUGGUCUGAGAGGAUGAUCAGCCACACGGGAACUGAGACACGGUCCAGACUCCUACGGGAGGCAGCAGUGGGGAAUUUUGCGCAAUGGGGGAAACCCUGACGCAGCAACGCCGCGUGAGUGAUGAAGGCCCUUGGAUCGUAAAGCUCUGACAGGGGGAAAGAAAUGCAGGGGAGCUAAUAUCUCUUUUGCUUGACGGUACCCUCAAAGGAAGCACCGGCUAACUCCGUGCCAGCAGCCGCCGCGGUAA
rnacentral:rRNA from 1 species